rnacentral:rRNA from 1 species
UACGAAGGGGGCUAGCGUUGUUCGGAAUCACUGGGCGUAAAGGGUGCGUAGGCGGGUCUUUAAGUCAGGGGUGAAAUCCUGGAGCUCAACUCCGGAAAUGCCAUUGAAACUGUAAGACUUGAGGAUGAGAGAGGUGAGUGGAAUUCCCAGUGUAGAGGUGAAAUUCGUAGAUAUUGGGAAGAACACCAGUGGCGAAGGCGGCUCACUGGCUCAUAUCUGACGCUCAGGCGCGACAGCGUGGGGAUCAAACAGG